rnacentral:rRNA from 1 species
GACGAACCGUGCGAACGUUGUUCGGAAUCACUGGGCUUAAAGGGCUCGUAGGCGGUCUGUUGCGUCGGGAGUGAAAACUUACAGCUUAACUGUGAGCGUGCUUUCGAUACGGGCAGACUUGAGGCAUUCAGGGGAGAACGGAAUUCCUGGUGUAGCGGUGAAAUGCGCAGAUAUCAGGAGGAACACCGGUGGCGAAGGCGGUUCUCUGGGAAUGUCCUGACGCUGAGGAGCGAAAGUGUGGGGAGCGAACAGG